AAGCGCGUUUGAAUCGGUUCCCGGGCUGCUUCCCAGCCUCUGCCCAGUCUGUGCUGCGCGGCCCGCCCAGGCCCGGAGCCGCGGGGGCUGGAGCCGAGGGCACGCGUGCAUUUCGUGUCUCCGGAGAGCCGCGGGGCCUUCUCCUUUUCCUCUCAACAAGGCAGCGGAAGGCGCCAAGCGAUCCAGGCGGCUUCUCGGUGGGAUCUGAGAGGGAUAGCGGCGUCGAUGGCUGUAGGACCGUGUGCUUGUUUGACCCGCGUGGGAAGGGCUUGGGGAUCGCGCACUGAAGGUCUCGGAGCGGGCGGGCUACGCAGGGUUCCGCGCUUCUGUGUGUCAGGAAAAAAAACAUCACUAUUUGUCCAAAUCCUCCAACACUUGCUCCAGCUGGAUCCAUAGACAAUCCUGACUGUAUCUGGCUUUUUCUGACUUUGAAGUACUGUGUCUAUCUUCCUGAAGACAAGAUGACAUUUUCAUUUCAGAUUUUGGCCUUAUAUAGGAGAAAACUAAAUAAGAAGGAAUGCAUGAAGUUUAAGGACUUUCUCAUACAGGAGAUUCUGGAAUUGAAGCUGAAACAGAUAUCUUAGACUGAAGUGAAGAAAGCAUCUCAGAAAGAUCUUGCCAACUUACUUCUGAAAUGUGGGGAGAAUCAAGUCUGGGAUAUGACCUUCAAAAUCCUCCAGAAGAUCAAUAGGAAAGAUCUCACUGAAAGGGCAUCAGAAGAGAUUGCUG
rnacentral:lncRNA from 1 species